rnacentral:rRNA from 1 species
GACGAGGGAUCCUAGCGUUGUUCGGAAUCAUUGGGCGUAAAGCGGAUGUAGGUGGCUUUGUAAGUCAGAUGUGAAAGCCCAGGGCUCAACCCCUGGAAGUGCAUUUGAUACUGCGAAGCUUGAGUGCCGGAGAGGUUACUAGAAUUCCUGGUGUAGUGGUGAAAUACGUAGAUAUCAGGAGGAAUACCGGAGGCGAAGGCGGGUAACCAGCCGGACACUGACACUCAGAUCCGAAAGUGUGGGGAUCAAACAGGA